rnacentral:rRNA from 1 species
GUGCCUAACACAUGCAAGUCGCGCGCGAAUGGAGCAAUCCUAGUAGAGCGGCGAACGGGUGCGUAACACGUGGGUAAUCUGCCCAAAAGCCCGGAAUAACCUGCCGAAAGGCAAGCUAAUACCGGAUAAGCUCACGGGGUCCUCGGACCUCGGGAGAAAAGGUGGCCUCUGUACACAAGCUACCGCUUCUGGAUGAGCCCGCGGCCCAUCAGCUUGUUGGCGGGGUAAUGGCCCACCAAGGCGACGACGGGUAGCUGGUCUGAGAGGACGAUCAGCCACACUGGAACUGAGACACGGUCCAG